UGGGGAAGUAUUGGACAAUGGGCGAAAGCCUGAUCCAGCAAUGCCGCGUGAGUGAUGAAGGCCUUAGGGUUGUAAAGCUCUUUUACCCGGAUGAUAAUGACAGUACCGGGAGAAUAAGCCCGCAGCUACCGUGCCAGCAGCCGCGGUAAUACGGAGGGGCGGUAGCGUUGUUCGGAAUUACUGGGCGUAAAGCGCGCGUAGGCGGCUUUGUAAGUUAGAGGUGAAAGCCCGGAGCUCAACUCCGGAAUUGCCUUUAAGACUGCAUCGCUAGAAUCAUGGAGAGGUGAGUGGAAUUCCGAGUGUAGAGGUGAAAUUCGUAAGAUAUUCGGAAGAACACCAGUGGCGAAGGCGACUUCACUGGA
rnacentral:rRNA from 1 species